rnacentral:rRNA from 1 species
UAGCGAGACUGCCAGCGAUAAGCUGGAGGGAAGGUGGGGAUGACGUCAAAUCAUCAUGCCCCUUAUGACCUGGGCUACAAACGUGAUACAAUGGCUGGAACAAAGGGAGGCGAAGGGGUGACCUGGAGCGAAACCCAAAAAUACAGUCUCAGUUCGGAUUGAAGUCUGCAACUCGACUUCAUGAAGUCGGAAUCGCUAGUAAUCGCGGAUCAGAACGCCGCGGUGAAUACGUUCUCGGGGUUU